AUGAAUCUGAUUUGGAUGAGACUAAUCAGUACGUCAUGUGGGCCUCCAAGCGAAAUUUGUGGUGGGAACUUUCCUUCCAUUCAUCUUCUAAUCAGAUUUGAUAUUUGUGCCAUUGAUUUGAGUGCUGAUGAAGAGCUUUCUAUGGACGAAGAGUCAACAAUGCAUUGGCAUUUUCCAAGUCCAUUCCCUCCUUUUAACUAUUCAACUUUCUUCUCUUCUUUUUUUGGAGAACUAACUUCUUUUCUUUGUGAAAAAACUAUUCACGAAUCGGAAUCAUCGAAUUCACAAACUGCUCAGCCGAUUCACGAACUAGAGAUGUAUGCACCCCACCGAACUCAAUUUGUAGGCACUACCGAAUCGCAAAUCCCGAACCCGAAUCAGUGGACUGCGAAUCCGGUAACUAUGGCAGGGACUGACAAGUGGCAUCAGACGUCUGGUAGCGUAAAGGACGACGGGUGGUGGUAG
rnacentral:rRNA from 1 species